rnacentral:sRNA from 12 species
AAAGCCCGGUGCGUUCCGAAGCCUUAGGUUCCUACCUGAGGUACUUAUGUAGGAACCACUGGGCUUA